rnacentral:ncRNA from 1 species
GCGUAUAGGGGCGAAAGACUAAUCGAAUCAUUAAGGAAUAGACCAAGCUCUAGGUGAUUGAGAAACCCCUUUGGUAUUAGUCCUGGAGACAGGGCGACAUUGUCAAAUUGUUCGGGGACCACCUGUUAAAUUAUAUGCUACUGCAGCAGUGCUGAAAGGCCUGUGAGCACUGAGGGUAACGCCCUCAGGGAUGGUAAUAACGCAUAUAUAGGGUAUAUCCGCAGCGAAGUUCUAAGGCUUCGAGCUAUGAAUCGCGUUCACAGACUAGACGGCAAUGGGCUCCUCGCGGGGCUUAAGAUAUAGUCGAACCCCUCAGAGAUGAGGAUGGAAUCAAUGCUAGUAGCUGGUUCCUGCCGAAGUUUCCCUCAGGA